rnacentral:rRNA from 1 species
GACGGAAGGUGCAAGCGUUGCUCGGAAUCACUGGGUGUAAAGGGUGCGUAGGCGGCUUGGUAGGUCUGGUGUGAAAGCCCCGGGCUCAGCCCGGGAAGGGCACUAGAAACUGCCAAGCUAGAGUGCCGGAGGGGAGAGUGGAAUUCCUGGUGUAGCAGUGAAAUGCGUAGAUAUCGAGAGGAACACCAGUGGCGAAGGCGAGUCCCUGGACAACUUCUGACGCUGAGGCACGAAAGCUAGGGGAGCAAACAGG